UAGGACUUUAACCAUUCGGAUG
rnacentral:siRNA from 1 species